rnacentral:rRNA from 1 species
UACGUAGGGUGCGAGCGUUAAUCGGAAUUACUGGGCGUAAAGCGUGCGCAAGCGGUUCGUUAAGUCAGAUGUGAAAGCCCCGGGCUCAACCUGGGAACUGCAUUUGAAACUGGCGGGCUUGAGUGUGGCAGAGGGGGGUGGAAUUCCGCGUGUAGCAGUGAAAUGCGUAGAGAUGCGGAGGAACACCGAUGGCGAAGGCAGCCCCCUGGGCCAACACUGACGCUCAGGCACGAAAGCGUGGGGAGCAAACAGG